AGGAGCCGUAUGAGAUGAAAAUCUCACGUACGGUUUUUCUAACUCUGGCUCAAAUAAAAUUUCAAAUGGAGGAAAUUCAAAGAUAUUUACAGCUAGAU
rnacentral:ncRNA from 1 species